GGAUGCCGGGAAGGGGAGAAAGAAAGGCGGAAGGGGUCUUUAAUAGCUGAGGCGAGGUGCGGGGUCGUGGAGGGGGCUUAGGAAUUGACCAGCGGGAGACGAUUGCUUCGAGCUGGAGAGUUCCAUGGCUGAGAGUAGGCUCCGGGCCCCGGACCUAGGAGUUUCCAGGUGUCUAGGAAAAUGCCAGAAGAACUCACCAGGUGCCGGGAAGCAUCCCUUUUCCGGAAAGUCCUUUUACUUGGAUCUGCCUGCUGGCAAGAAUCUCCAGUUUUUGACGGGGGCCAUUCAGCAACUGGGUGGGGUAAUUGAGGGUUUUCUGAGCAAAGAAGUAAGUUACAUCGUGUCCAGCCGCAGAGAAGUAAAGGCAGAGAGCAGUGGGAAAAGCCACAGAGGCUGCCCUAGCCCUAGCCCCAGUGAGGUCAGAGUGGAAACAUCGGCCAUGGUUGAUCCAAAAGGCAGCCACCCCAGGCCUUCACGGAAACCCGUUGACUUGGUGCCUCUAAGCAGAGGGAAGGAGCUGCUGCAGAAGGCCAUCAGAAACCAGGUGAGCUGGGGCAAGAUGGGACAGAGCGGGUGGUCUCCAGCGUAGGGAGGGAUUUCACUCUUCUUCCCAGGUUCUUCUGAAGCACCCACACAAAAUGCACACUCUGCGAUAUGUAGUAUUGUCAUUAUUUCCUUCUUCUACAUCAGGUAGUGGAGGCUCAGACAAGUUAUUUAGCCAUUCACCUAGAGAGUAAGUGUUGAAGCCAGAGCCACCUCCAACUCUGGAGCCUAC
rnacentral:sRNA from 1 species